GACAGAGGGUGCAAACGUUGUUCGGAAUUACUGGGCGUAAAGGGCGCGUAGGCGGUCUGCUAAGUUGGAUGUGAAAACUCUGGGCUUAACCCAGAGCCUGCAUUCAAUACUGACAGGCUAGAGUUCUGGAGGGGAUAGCGGAAUUCCGGGUGUAGCGGUGGAAUGCGUAGAGAUCCGGAAGAACACCGGUGGCGAAGGCGGCCUGCUGGGCGGCGACUGACGCUGAGGCGCGACAGCGUGGGGAGCAAACAGG
rnacentral:rRNA from 1 species